AUAAGUAGGUUUUAUUCAGUUU
rnacentral:miRNA from 1 species